AUACGUAGGUGGCAAGCGUUGUCCGGAAUUAUUGGGCGUAAAGCGCAUGUAGGCGGUAAUUUAAGUCUGUCGUGAAACUGCGGGGCUCAGCCCCGUAUGGCGAUGGAAACUGGGUUACUUGAGUGCAGGAGAGGAAAGGGGAACUCCCAGUGUAGCGGUGAAAUGCGUAGAUAUUGGGAAGAACACCGGUGGCGAAGGCGCCUCUCUGGACUGUGUCUGACGCUGAGAUGCGAAAGCCAGGGUAGCGAACGGGAUUAGAUACCCCGGUAGUCCUGGCCGUAAACGAUGGGUACUAGGUGUGGGAGGUAUCGACCCCUUCCGUGCCGGAGUUAACGCAAUAAGUACCCCGCCUGGGGAGUACGGCCGCAAGACUGAAACUCAAAGGAAUUGACGGGG
rnacentral:rRNA from 1 species